AAAAUAAUCAUUUUUUUAAACUAGCCGGGGCAGUGAAAUCUUUGCUUUGUUGCUAGAGUCAACAGUGACAGAGUUUGAGCUCAAAUAAAUGCCGCGAGGCUUCCAGCUCUGUGCAGAAGGCAACGGGAGAGGCUCCGGUACCGUUCUGCAGGCUCCAGGUACGAACAUUUUCAUCAUUAAAUCCAGCUCGCUGCUGAGGCUUUCGAUGCAUGCUGCGUGUGUUUGGCUUAGUAAGGAUUUCACAUAGGAGGUUUCUGCGUGCAACAAUGCGAUUUCACGGCAAUAUGGCUCGCCGCAUGAACAGACACAACUCAAGUGCUGAUGUUAAGGGGCUCUUUCAGCCGACUGUCAGGUGGCUAUUCCAGCUGAUUGAUGCCAAUGAUACUGGAGAAGACGUGCACUGCUUUCGCCGCGCCAAUAACCGCAGCCCAUCAAAUGGAGUUCUUCUCAGGUCUGGUCUCAAAGAGUACACCAGAGAUAAGACUCAGCCACACAAUGUCCCUUCAGUAGGUCUCAUUGACCGGCCCAUGGCACCGGCCAGGUAUGCCAGAAAUGUUUAACUAGCUAUCCAUCUUCUACCUGCUGCUGGUAAACAGACACCUUUGUUUAAAGCGCACUACGGUUAGGGCCUGCUCUGACUCAACAAAUGGACUAUUUAUUUCCCCAUUGGCCCGGACUCAGGAAAUAUGCCUCUUAUAAUCCGCUUUUUAUUUAUCUGACAGGAGUGUGGUAAUGCAUGUCUGUGUGUGGGUGGGAGUUUCUUCAGAGGAGAGGGGGCACAUGGCCUGGUUAACUCGUGAUUUUUGCGGUGAACUCAUGUUCCAAGCUCUUAUCAUUCGCGUCCAGGGUGAACAAACAAACAGUGCGUGGUGUAAAUCUGGCGGGAUGUCUGAACAUUGUGGGGUCAGACAUAAUUUUAGUUUAAGGUUUGCCAUUUCCUUAAAUCGCACGUGUUUCAAUAAAAAAUAAUGAAUAAGGAAUAUUUGUUUUAAAGUAAAUAAUUCUACUAGAGCAAGAAUACACAAUUGCAAUGCACAGGUAGAUCACAUACAAAUUUGAACCUCAGAGCUGUGCUGACUACUUAGAUUUUCAACCUAAAUUUUUUGAUCAGCAUAUUCCUUUGUUAGGAAUGAACACACUGCAACUCUUGCCUAUGAAACAUGGACUUAGUGUGUUAAACCAAACUAUAUGUCUACACUUUAAAAAAAAAUUAAUCUUUAACAUCCACGGAACCUUUCCAUUCCAAAAAAUAUUUUUUUUACAGUGGAAAAGGUUCUUUAGAUUAUUUAAUGCUCUUUACACUACAUGAUAGUUCUUUUAAGAACUCUUCACUGAAAGGUUCUUUGGGGAAACCAGAAUGGUUUUCUGUGGCUUUUCUGCUAAAACCCCCUCUUGGAACCUUUAAUUUUAAGAGUGUAUAUGCAUUAGGGAAUUGCAUGGGGGUAGUUGGGGUCUUUGGAACAACCAAUAACAAGUUCAGAC
rnacentral:lncRNA from 1 species